rnacentral:lncRNA from 1 species
AUGACCCCACCAGAAGAGGGAACAUGGGCUCUUUCCCCGGAACUUGACACCCAUCAUCUCACUGAGUCCCUUUCACAGAUCUUGCGAAGCAGGCACUGGAAGGAACCUGAGGUCUACCAGGGCAAGUGCUUGUGUUCUGUCAGAGAGCAGAGACUGCGGCUGGAUAUCCAUCCCUGCUGUGCUUCAUAUCAGAAGGAUAAAAACUCAGGCCCAGAGAAGAGCUCACUUGCUAGAGGUUGCCAAGCCUUCAGAAAGAAUGAGACAAGCUCACCUCCCUUUCCAGCUCUGCUUCAGGUUGCUGCACUCCAGCCCAUACCCAGGGAGGGACCUCUUUCCUCUGCGGGAUGUGUUCUUGCAAGCUGUGGACAAUGGCCCUUCCUGCAAGUGCUCAGGCCUCCAAGCUAAGGACAUGAAUGGACUGAGUCAUUCCCACAGAGCUUCAUUAAUUUUAAGGCAAUUUAAGAUUUCUGAGUCAUAAGUUUCAGUCAGUUAGACUUUCCCAGCUGGUACUGUACUUGCCCACACACAUUUUUCUUUAAAGAUUACAUCUGUGUCUAGAUGUGUGGUUCUGCCCACUCUCCAUCAGUUUCUGAGGGAAAUAGACUGCAUAGCGUGAUGCAUGCAGAGAUGUGCCAUGUGCGUUCUCAUCUCUGCAUGAGGCCUUAACAGGAUUAGCAGCCUGCAGCUUCAGGCAGACUCUAGCCACCAGAGACCUGCACAACUCCAGAUUCUACGCCUAGCAGUAUAUGUUAUGCAGCCUCCCAAGAAAACUCAGUUCUACCAUAUGGUGACUCCACUCACAGAACAAUAUUUAGCCACUUGAUGAACAAGGACUGAAUCAUAUCUUAACCAUCUUGGCCAAAUAUUGUUUUAUAUAGCAACAGUAUUAGUAAUAUAUAUGUUUUAUUUUUUACACUAGUACUUCCUGCUACACCCACUGUAAAUUAAGAGCUAGACCUCACUGGGAGUAGACCACACCAUACAGGCGUUUUUGCUCAUUAGUACCUUCCACUCAAUAUUGUGUUGAAUGGAUGAUGCAUUCAGAAUGCCUGCUUUUUCUUCUCUACCAGAACAGCUACUGGGAUGGAGCAACAGUCUCCCAGGGUAACGCAGCAGGGAAUCCUGGGGCACUUCCCAGAGGCUGCAAACAAAGUUCAUGUACCUGUGGGGAGGUCAGAGCUCUCUCCCUCUCCCCAGAGAGAUGUCCUCCAUAUUGCCAGGAUGUGGGGAAGGAAAUUAGCAAGCAUGCACAUGGUGGGGGAAGGGGGCAAUGUGGUUGGGUGAUCUUAAGGAAGUCACUUUCCUCUUUGAGCCUCAUUUCAAUUAUUCAACAGGGAUCAUAAUGCAAACCCUAUAUAAACUGCAAGGCAGCAUGAAAGUGCUAGGUCAGCCAUUUACCGCGUACUGGCAAUCUCUCAGCUGUAUAUAUCUGACGGUGGGUAAACUACUAUCUGCACCUUCAGUGAACUUGCACAUUGUAAAUUCUGAUGUGCAGAGACACUUUCAAUAAAAUAUGAUUUGGGGGGAUAGGCGUUGUGAUA